AUUGGACGCUGGCGGCAUGCCUUACACAUGCAAGUCGAACGGUAACGCGGGGCAACCUGGCGACGAGUGGCGAACGGGUGAGUAAUGCAUCGGAACGUGCCCAGUUGUGGGGGAUAACUGCUCGAAAGAGCAGCUAAUACCGCAUACGACCUGAGGGUGAAAGCGGGGGAUCGCAAGACCUCGCGCAAUUGGAGCGGCCGGUGUCGGAUUAGCUAGUUGGUGGGGUAAAGGCCCACCAAGGCGACGAUCCGUAGCUGGUCUGAGAGGACGACCAGCCACACUGGGACUGAGACACGGCCCAGACUCCCACGGGAGGCAGCAGUGGGGAAUUUUGGACAAUGGACGCAAGUCUGAUCCAGCCAUGCCGCGUGCGGGAAGAAGGCCUUCGGGUUGUAAACCGCUUUUGUCAGGGAAGAAAUCUUCUGGGUUAAUACCUCGGGAGGAUGACGGUACCUGAAGAAUAAGCACCGGCUAACUACGUGCCAGCCGCCGCCGUAAUAC
rnacentral:rRNA from 1 species